CGCAUAUUGCGCUCUUUGGUAUUCCGAAGAGCAUGCUUGUUUGAGUAUCAGUAAACACCUCAAAAUCUUUUUUAUUUUUGAUAAAAAAAAAAGGAGAUUUUGGAUUUGAGUGAUCCUAACGAGUGAAAAAUCUUGGCAGGUCAUUUGAAAUGCAGGUGCAGCUGAAUAUUUCUUCUGAGCUAUAAGCAUAUUUAUUUAGUCCUUAUUUUUUUUUCGAAAGAGAAUGAAUAGGAUUAUUACUUUUGCUGCAGCUAACAUAAAGGUUGAUUUAUUCAAAAUGGCUGACUGAUGCAGGAAUUUAUCAGUUAUUAUUUUUUUUUAACUGUGAAUCUCGAUCUCAAAUCAAGUAAGACUACCCGCUGAACUUAA
rnacentral:misc_RNA from 1 species